CUGAUCCAGCCAUGCCGCGUGCAGGAUGACGGUCCUAUGGAUUGUAAACUGCUUUUGCACAGGAAGAAACAACAUUACGUGUAAUGUCUUGACGGUACUGUGAGAAUAAGGAUCGGCUAACUCCGUGCCAGCAGCCGCGGUAAUACGGAGGAUCCAAGCGUUAUCCGGAAUCAUUGGGUUUAAAGGGUCCGUAGGCGGUCUUAUAAGUCAGUGGUGAAAUCUCCCCGCUCAACGGGGAAACGGCCAUUGAUACUGUAGGACUUGAAUUAUUAGGAAGUAACUAGAAUAUGUAGUGUAGCGGUGAAAUGCUUAGAGAUUACAUGGAAUACCAAUUGCGAAGGCAGGUUACUACUAAUGGAUUGACGCUGAUGGACGAAAGCGUGGGUAGCGAACAGGAUUAGAUACCCUGGUAGUCCACGCCGUAAACGAUGGAUACUAGCUGUUGGGAGCAAUUUCAGUGGCUAAGCGAAAGUGAUAAGUAUCCCACCUGGGGAGUACGUUCGCAAGAAUGAAACUCAAAGGAAUUGACGGGGGCCCGCACAAGCGGUGGAGCAUGUGGUUUAAUUCGAUGAUACGCGAGGAACCUUACCAAGGCUUAAAUGUAGAUUGACCGGUUUGGAAACAGACUU
rnacentral:rRNA from 1 species